rnacentral:rRNA from 1 species
GACGUAGGGCGCGAGCGUUGUCCGGAUUUAUUGGGCGUAAAGAGCUCGUAGGCGGCUUGUCGCGUCGUUCGUGAAAACUUGGGGCUCAACCCCAAGCUUGCGGUCGAUACGGGCAGGCUAGAGUUCGGUAGGGGAGACUGGAAUUCCUGGUGUAGCGGUGAAAUGCGCAGAUAUCAGGAAGAACACCGAUGGCGAAGGCAGUUCUCUGGGACGGUACUGACGCUGAGACGCGAAAGCGUGGGGAGCGAACAGG